GAUCAUGGCUCAGGAUGAGCGCUGGCGGCGUGCUUAACACAUGCAAGUCGAACGAAGCUCCUUGAACUGAAGAUUCGUCUGAUGGGAUAGGAAGACUUAGUGGCGGACGGGUGAGUAACGCGUGGGUAACCUGCCGUAUACAGGGGGAUAACAGUUAGAAAUGACUGCUAAUACCGCAUAAGCGCACAGUGAGGCAUCUCACAGUGUGAAAAACUCCGGUGGUAUACGAUGGACCCGCGUCUGAUUAGCCAGUUGGCAGGGUAACGGCCUACCAAAGCGACGAUCAGUAGCCGGCCUGAGAGGGUGAACGGCCACAUUGGGACUGAGACACGGCCCAAACUCCUACGGAAGGCAGCAGUGGGGAAUAUUGCACAAUGGGGGAAACCCUGAUGCAAGCGACGCCGCGUGAGUGAAGAAGCAUUUCGGUGCGUAAAGCUCUAUCAGCAGGGAAGAAAAUGACGGUACCUGACUAAGAAGCCCCGGCUAACUACGUGCCAGCCGCAGC
rnacentral:rRNA from 1 species